GAUCAAGCGCCUUAAGGGCAUUCGGUGGAUGCCUUGGCGUCGAGAGGCGAUGAAGGACGUGGUACGCUGCGAUAAGCUACGGGGAGCUGCGAACAAGCUUUGAUCCGUAGAUUUCCGAAUGGGGAAACCCGGCCCGCAAGGGUCAUCCCGCAAGGGAAGCGAACCCGGGGAAGUGAAACAUCUCAGUACCCGGAGGAAAGGACAUCAACAGAGACUCCGCUAGUAGUGGCGAGCGAACGCGGACUAGGCCAGUGCUUCGAUUGUAAGAACCGGAACACUCUGGAAAGAGUGGCCAUAGCGGGUGAUAGCCCC
rnacentral:ncRNA from 1 species